AAUGAGCGUCCAGCCGGCCGGGGCAUUUAAAAGCCGGACGAAUGGCCACCCUAUGUCUUCCUGUGUCGGAGUCUGGUCUUGACAACCCGUUUGGAGCUAACCCAGUGCCUCGAGGAGGCCCAAAUCGGGUGGGAGCCGACCCAGGUGGAGAGAAUGCAGCCCAGGCCGUGACGCGCUGCUGUUUUGCUUGGUUUUGUUUUGUUCCUGUUCAGUUGGAUCACGCUGUGCUAGUUUUUCUGUGUCUUGAACAAAUCAUGAUUUGUCCCCCAGAAAUUUCUACACUGUAUUUGUUUGUGUUUAGGAGUGCGUGGGGCAGGCUGCGGCGUGGCUACCCGGAUGGUGGUGGGGCUGGUUGGACUGGGCCUCACUUUCUCCUCCCCUUUUUUCUUAGUUGCAUGUUUUUGGUUUUUGAUUUACAUUGUUUUGCGUGAGUGUGGAUGCGGCGCUGGAGGGAGUGAGGGCCUUGUCCCAGAGUUUGUCCCCUCUCUUUUCCCUUCUUAGCCCGCUGCAGCCUACGGCACCAAUAGAAUUGAAUUUGUUUAUUAAAACUUAUUUUCCUCUUUGACGACAUUCCCAGAGCUGAUGGGAAUUAUUAAAAUGAAUUGUUACCUUUUUGAUAUUUUAAGAAAAUAAAUAUUGUUGCUUUGGUCUGUUUA
ensembl:lncRNA